GGUGUUUGCAAGGAGCUUGACAUUGUUAAUAUCAGCGAUUGUUGAUAAUAUCCGAGAAACGGAUUCGAGCAUUGAUUUUCCUCGGUCUUUUUAACUAGACUUGAUUUGUGACAAGACUAAAUAUUUAAGUAAUUGGAAUACCACUUUCAAAGAAAUAGUCAUGUGAUUAUUUUAUUUAUGUACCAAACAAAGUAAUAUUAUAAACGAGUACGAAAAUAGAACGACAUGGAGAAAAUUAUAUAAUAUGUAUGAAAUAAAUAAUCACAGUAUGCGAUUCCGAUAACAAAAGGCGAUGGCGCUUGGAGGAUCUCCGAAAAUUCAGGAAUAUUUGGCAGAAACGGUAUAAAUGGAUGUGGCCAACUAAACGGAUACAGCAGACUCUGUAAGGCUUCCACACAUGAUGAUAAUUUACUGGAAUGAAUUUAUGUAAUUUUAGAGCGACCGAAAAACCACAUAUUGGCAGAGUUCAUUUUCUAGGA
rnacentral:misc_RNA from 1 species